GGCUAUGUUAGCCGGGCGACGGUUGUCCCGGUUUAAGCAUGUAGGCUGGUUAUCCAGGCAAAUCCGGAUAAUCAAGGCUGAGGUGUGAUGACGAGGCACUACGGUGCUGAAGUAACAAAUGCCCUGCUUCCAGGAAAAGCCUCUAAGCAUCAGGUAACAUCAAAUCGUACCCCAAACCGACACAGGUGGUCAGGUAGAGAAUACCAAGGCGCUUGAGAGAACUCGGGUGAAGGAACUAGGCAAAAUGGUACCGUAACUUCGGGAGAAGGCACGCUGGUGUGUAGGUGAAGUCCCUGC
rnacentral:rRNA from 1 species